CGAGUGCUUGCACUCAAUUGGAAAGAGGAGUGGCGGACGGGUGAGUAACACGUGGGUAACCUACCCAUCAGAGGGGGAUAACACUUGGAAACAGGUGCUAAUACCGCAUAACAGUUUAUGCCGCAUGGCAUAAGAGUGAAAGGCGCUUUCGGGUGUCGUUGAUGGAUGGACCCGCGGUGCAUUAGCUAGUUGGUGAGGUAACGGCUCACCAAGGCCACGAUGCAUAGCCGACCUGAGAGGGUGAUCGGCCACACUGGGACUGAGACACGGCCCAGACUCCUACGGGAGGCAGCAGUAGGGAAUCUUCGGCAAUGGACGAAAGUCUGACCGAGCAACGCCGCGUGAGUGAAGAAGGUUUUCGGAUCGUAAAACUCUGUUGUUAGAGAAGAACAAGGACGUUAGUAACUGAACGUCCCCUGACGGUAUCUAACCAGAAAGCCACGGCUAACUACGUGCCAGCAGCCGCGGUAAUACGUAGGUGGCAAGCGUUGUCCGGAUUUAUUGGGCGUAAAGCGAGCGCAGGCGGUUUCUUAAGUCUGAUGUGAAAGCCCCCGGCUCAACCGGGGAGGGUCAUUGGAGACUGGGAGACUUGAGUGCAGAAGAGGAGAGUGGAAUUCCAUGUGUAGCGGUGAAAUGCGUAGAUAUAUGGAGGAACACCAGUGGCGAAAGCGGCUCUCUGGUCUGUAACU
rnacentral:rRNA from 1 species